GGUCACCUCUUGAAUGCUUUGCUGCUUAGAAAUUUCUUCUGCCAGAUAUGCUAAAUCAUCUAUUUCAAGUUCAAAGUAUCACAGAUCUCUAGAACAGGGGGAAAAUGCUGGCAGUCUCUUUGCUAAAGCAUAGCAAGAGUGACCUUUACUACAGUUCCCAGUAACUUCCUCAUCUCCAUCUGAGACCUCCUCAGCCUGGACUUCAUUGUCCAUAUCACUAUCAGCAUUUUGGUCACAACCAUUCAACAAGUCCCUAGAAAGAUCCAAACUUUCCCACAUCUUCCCAUCUUCUUUUGGCCCCUCCAUACUGUUCCAACCUCUGCCCACUACCCAGUUCCAAAGUCACUUCCACAUUUUCAGGUAUCUUUAUAGCAAUGCCCCACUUUCCUGGUACCAAUUUUCUGUAUUAGUCCAUUCUCACACAGCUAUAAAGAACUACCUGAGACUGGGUAAUUUAUCAAGAAAAGAGGUUUAAUUGGUUCACAGUUCCACAGGCUUAACAAGAAGUAUGGCUAGGAGGCCUCAGGAAACUUACAAUCAAGGUGAAGGCAAGGCGGAAGCAAGCACCUUAUUCACAUGGCAGCAGGGGAAAGAGAGAGACGGGGGAAGUGCUCCAAACUUUUAAAUAACCAGAUCUCAUGAGAACUCACUCACUGGAAAAGUAAGGGGGAUGUCUGCCCCCAUGAAUCAAUCACCUCCUACCAGGCCCUCCUUCAACAUGUGGGAAUUACAGUUCAACAUGAGAUUUGGAUGGGGACACCAAAACUAUAUCAACUAUCUAUUAAUGGAUGAGGAAGAAUGGUGAGUACCAGGGGAUAGGGGAAGGGGAAUGGGGAGUUAGCAUUUAAUGGAGAAAGAGUUUCAACUGGGGAGGAUGAAAAAGUUCUGGAGAUGGAUGGUGGUGAUGGUUACACAGCAACGUGAAUAUACUUAAUGGCACAGAACUAUAGACUUUAAAACGUUUAAAAUGGUAAGUUUUAUGUGAUGUGUAUUUUGUAACAGUAAAAAACACUAAUCACAAGCAUAUGAAUAACUGUGACUACAUGGAAAUUUAAUGCAUGUAAGACAAAAAGCACCACAAAAACGUAAAAGACAGCUUGA
rnacentral:lncRNA from 10 species